rnacentral:lncRNA from 1 species
UUUGAGCGAGUUCUUCCAUAAAAAAACAACAUACAUCGCAACUAUAGAAAGCUAUAGUCUUGGCAGAUAGAAACAUCACAUCAUUAAAUCUACAGAACGGCACUCCAAACCCAAUAGACAACACUGCACACAUACAUGAAAAGAAAACAUCCUGGGGUAGAAAGGAACUCCAUGUCAGACACCUGCAUGACCUCCAGAAACACUUUACCACCACGACCUCCAGAAACACUUUACACCAGAGCAUCAAAGCUGAUUAGUCAGGGGGAUUUAUUUACAGAAACAGAAGCAUUUAUAAUAGUGAUACAAGACCAAGUAAUAAACAUGAAAAACUACAGAAAAUACAUAUUGAAGGACAGUACUUUGACAAACGACACUUGUAA